CAACCUCGCUGUCUCAGUGAAAGAGCAGAUAAACAUUUCAGCGUUUGCUCUUUCUACGUCCUCAGCCAGUUUGACGCCAUGAUUGUGUGACUGUUAGUCGGCUAACCUUUUCUAGUGUCUAGAGGUGUCUGUAUUUUGGGUCUGACCAGCUGGGGAGUGCGUACUUUUGGGCUAAAAGCAAUCACAGUUGCUUCAACCAUGGCAGGGAUACUAGCAAGGUCGUUAUGGAGCAAAAAGGCACCCCUUCAGAUGGGUCGCAUGUGUUAUUCAUCAUCCGUGCCCACCACCAAGUUGUUCAUUGACGGCAAGUUUGUUGAGUCAAACACCUCAGAAUGGCUGGACAUUCACAACCCUGUAAGUAUUUCUGCAUUAACACACACACAUCACAACGGGAGUUCAUGCAAACACUAAAAAGCAAUGUGUAAACCGGUCGGGAGCUGGAGAUGAAGAACUCUUUAGGGUGUCAUUUAAUAUGUAUGAUUUGGAAAGUGAAGAAAUGGGAGCCUAUUCUUCGUAGCCAAUUCAAUUGAACCUUGACAUGUUUAUGCACUCACAUUCACUAACUCAGGCCUGGGGGGCCUGUCUGCAUCUACUUCAUGUAAACUUGUCAUUGUCUUGCUCCAGGAAGUAUUCACACCCUCUUUACUUUUUCCACAUUUUGUGUUACAAAGUGGAAUUAAAAUUGAUUUAAUUGUUGUCAAUGAUCUAUGCAAAAUAGUCUCAAAAAGUAAGGGACAAAUUCAAACAUUUGUUWAAAAAAWAAAUACAACACUAAUCUUGAUUAGAUAAGUAUUCAGCCCAUGAAUCAAUACGUUACAAUCACAUUUGGCAGCAACUAUAGCAGUGAGUCUUUCUGGGUAAGUCUCUAAAAGCUUUCCACACCUGGAUUGUGCAGAUUUUGCCCAAUAUUCUUACAAAAAUUAUUCAAGCUCUGGCAAAUUGGUGGUUGAUCAUUGCUAGCAGAUUUAAGACAACUGUAACUUGGCCA